GUAUCAUGGCUCAGCAGGAAAGCGUUUGUUUUGCAUACAGAAGGUCCCUGGUUCAAUCCCCAGCAUCUCCA
rnacentral:tRNA from 1 species